rnacentral:tRNA from 1 species
GCUGCUGUAGCUCAGCGGUAGAGCACUCCAUUGGUAAUGGAGAGGUCGGGAGUUCGAUUCUCCCCAGCAGCACCA